ACCAAACAUUUUUAGGGUUCUUUUUACUGAGGUAUCCAAGUUUAUUUUUUUAUAAAUCUACAUAAAGUUGUUUAUUUGUUUGUUUUAUUUGUUUAUAUAUUGCAGACUAAUUAUAUCACUCAAAUAUGACAACAAGUGCUGUCAAAAUGGUGAUCACAGCUGUUAAAAGUCAACAAUAAUCUAACAAUGUUCAUACAAAAAAAAUCCUAUCAUACAAAAAUAGGAUCUUAGAAUUCAAAAUUUAAAUAAACUCUAAGCGCUCAUUUAAAUAGCCGUUUAGGUUUUCAUCAAAUGUUUUUCUUUGGUUCUUGAGUGGUAACACAAAAAAAUGCUUAUGAAGGUAAAUAUGAUGCAAAUUUGUUUAGUUUUAGGCCUGUGUGACCAUGGACUAUUUCCAACAGAAAGGUUUUUUAUCCAGAUUUAUAGGAGCUGACACGUUCUACUUCUAAAUUGUAGGGAUAAUCCGUAAGUCAUUUAGUCAAUUAGCUCGUGCUAUUCCUCAUUCUUCCCCACUGUCACAGCAGCUGACAAAAAAUUCUUACAACCAAUGUGGAACACUUUUUAAAUAUUAGAACAGAAAACAAAUAGGAAAAGAAUUAAGUGCUUAGGCGUUAAACUUAUGCAUGGGUGCUAAAGUUAUGGUGUGUUUCAUGGUAAUUUGAAAGCUCUACUUAGACUAGUUUGACACUUUCGUACAUAACAUCAUCAUAUAAUAACGGACGGUGCCUGUAGGGGGCGGAGCGGCCCGUCGUGUUACCAUGUGAGAGAGGGGCGCUAUUAGGUACUUGAAAUGAAAGAACAGAAGAAUUUCUUUCCAGUUCAAAUUCGAGGGCAAAAUUUCAAUAAUUCUUGAAAAUGUCAAGUUUUUGUUUAUGAGAGGGUUAAACAAAUUCCACCCAUGUACCAAGCUAGACUGGGUUAAGCCCAACUACAUUAUCGGGGAAAAGGAAACCGGGCAACGUUUCAUUUCCCCGACUAGCAACCCGAUGUUUUAACCUGGUGUUAUAUUUUCCCGAUUUUUUUGUAAAAUUUUAUUAAAUAAAUUUUGAACUUACACAGAGGAGUGACUUUCUCUUACGUAACAGGUUCGAAAGUAUGUUUUUUGUGAGCAAUAAAAAAUUCCUUGCGGGAAAUUUCACUUGGCGUCACAAUUUUCUUAUUUAGUACUUCCAGCUGGGAAACUGUCGGACCUAUUCACUUGUCACCAAAUUGUCGCCUCACAUGACAAAUUAUUAGUUUAACCCCUGUUUAAGCUUAUCAGAACUUCAUAACAUUUAUCAACGCAUUAUUUCAGCAUAAUACGCCUUCGACCAACAUAAAUAAAAAUUCACGUGUCUAUUUCUUUUCAUCAUGAAAAGUUAUGAGUAAAAUAAACACAUGAAGUUGGCAAGAAAAAUCAUUCACGCUGGAUAACGUGAAGAUAUGAGUAAUAGAAAAUAUACAGAAUUAAGGAACAAUGUAGAGGAAUGAGAUUAUAGGAUUUUCAGAAUUUACAAAAGCAGCGACAAGACUGUUCAUUCACCAGUGGGAACAGCUAAAAAGGAUAACAUAUACUAUUUAUAGAUUAUAUUGACGUCUAAAUUUAUCAAAUAAACAAAUAUAGCGAAGAAUAGAGAAUAUAAGUCUCCUGGAAACAACUGAGCAAGUAUGAGAUUGACAGACGCCUGAUAUAAGCCGUUGUUUGGAUUGUGCUAAAGCUCUGUCAAUGUACAAAAAAAACGAAGUCGGAUGCACACGUUUUUUGUAUGAGAAAAUUAUGUUUGGAAAAAAGCCUUAGGAUUUUUUUAUUAUUUUUUAUUUGAAAGUCUAAAAAUUUCCCUUAAAGAUUUUUAGAGAUAACAAAACAUAGUAACCCACGUAAGUACGUCUUUCGAGGAAGUAGAGAAAAGAUGGGCCAAUAAGGUGUAUGUUAAUGAUGUGAUAGUGGUCCGCUAAAACGAGCCAUACUUGCAAGUCUUCUGGUUCGUAUUGUGAACAAGAAACACCGGGAUAUUUUUAACAUUUCUUCUUUAGUGCAAUUUCAAGUAAAUAUAGUUCCAUGUCGAUAAAAUUUCUCUAUCUUGAACUUCUCUCAACCCGAUAGACUACUGUCUAAAUAUUUAGCCGUUUUCUAUUUCCACGAACAGAAACAUUUUGAUGAGGCUGAAAAGAUAAUUUUCUUAAAAAACGAUCCAUAACAUCCUUAGUGCUCCUAAUAACUCCCGUCCAGACAAGGAUGCAUGAAAUAGCGAUACGGGGAAAUAAGUACGUCGGGCGAUUGAUCCCCCGCUUAUAAAAAUUCUUGUACAUUUAAAAAUUUAAAAAAUGACCUAUUGCUUUUAAAAUGUGGAUUUAUUACAGUUGCUAAAGAAAACAAAAUUGUCAAAAAUAUUGUUUAGUUGUGAUUUGCAUGUAAAUGAUAAUAUGUCGUUAUUUACGUUUUAUCAAACCUUACCUGAUAAUUAGCAGUAUGAACCCUAGAAAGAAGAAGAAACCUAACAUUAGCAAAGCAAAAAAGGACAUGCAUCUGUUCUCUCAACUCCCCAUUUUGAGCAGAGUAGUCAGAAGUUAUUUUUUUCUCCUCUCUUUGCGUGCGAUGUACAUUAUAUAUGACUUAGCGACUCCAGCUCACACAAUUCCAUGAUUUUGUUGUUUUUCUUUUGAUCCAUGUAAAGUGUGUGCAGUUGAUACGAAAUAGAACACACCAAAAAAUGAUGCAACAAAAAUGAUGUAAACAUUUUACAGCGUAAUGUCUAAGUCUGGUUGCCUAGGAUAUAAACAAAAAAACAUGUGAAAACACUCGAGGUUGAUUUGACUCGGGAUUUCACAAGUUUUGGAAUUUUAAACUUAUCUACAUUGAUCUUCAAAUAGGAUGGAUUAGAAAUUUCACAUGUAUAAGCCGAUGAUGAGAGGACAGGCAGACAAAAUGUAACAACGUAAUAAUACGUUAUCUAACCGUGUCUGCACUCGUUCUUUUAUCAAACAAAAUCUUUUACAAACGAUCAUUUAAAUUUUACACAGGAACAAGGAAAACUGAUAGCCUCACAAUGCUUGUUGACAGCCAUUAAUGACAUGUUAAGAUCACGUUUGAUAACUGUUGACACAAACAAGACAAACAACUUUUUACACACGGAGAAAGCUUCGCGCAUGCUGUAAUUAACUGUGAUAAGUAAGACCGUUAUCUCGAUAACUACGCUAGAUUAUUUUAAAAAUAGCAUGAUUAUAUUUUGAUAAGCUAUAUACAUAUUUUAUCUGACAUUUCAGCGAUUGUCUGUGUUUGUUGAAGAAAAGAUUUACUGUGAGAUGAAAAUACGCGUGUUUGUCAAGUUCGGCGUCAAUGUCUAAGUUCUUAUCACCUAAUUUGAUUGAAGGAUUGUUCCUAUCUACACAUAAUUGACAGCAAGCACAAAAGCUUUCUAACUAACUUAUUUGUGUUCAUAUCACAGACGGCAGUGGUGACAUGGUGAAAUGCUGAAUAGCGGUUGAUUUACGUCGAAAAAACCUUUUAACAACGACCGCCUAUGAUUCAUAUCUCUUCGACAUCCAUGACGCAAUUUCAAAUCUGUUUCAACUACUAAAAUUUAAAAUGGUAUAUCUUUCUAGUUUUACAAUUUACAAACCACAUAAAAAAGAUAAUGUGUUUGGUUAAAAAUGCAGAACAAGUAAAGGAAAGAUAGAAUGCCUAAUCUCGCUAUAUAGUUGUUCUUAAUGUUUUACAUUUUAGAAUUUAAAAAUGUUAUUUUAGACUUGCACAUCAGCACCCAAAGUGUUGCAAAGAUGGUGAGAAUCGAGUGGGUUUUCAGACAUUUUAAAAAAUAAGCGGUCGUUUGAUUCUUUAAAUAAAGUUUUGAAAUAGAAAUUCGUGUACAGCGACGAUUCUUUUUAACUCGUCCUAAGGCCUAAAUUCUUCUUAAAUCAUUAGAGAUUUACUUUUUAA